rnacentral:rRNA from 1 species
ACGAACGCUGGCGGCGUGCCUAAUACAUGCAAGUUGAGCGAUGAAGAUUGGUGCUUGCACCAAUUUGAAGAGCAGCGAACGGGUGAGUAACGCGUGGGGAAUCUGCCUUUGAGCGGGGGACAACAUUUGGAAACGAAUGCUAAUACCGCAUAAUAACUUUAAACAUAAGUUUUAAGUUUGAAAGAUGCAAUUGCAUCACUCAAAGAUGAUCCCGCGUUGUAUUAGCUAGUUGGUGAGGUAAGGGCUCACCAAGGCGAUGAUACAUAGCCGACCUGAGAGGGUGAUCGGCCACAUUGGGACUGAGACACGGCCCAAACUCCUACGGGAGGCAGCAGUAGGGAAUCUUCGGCAAUGGACGAAAGUCUGACCGAGCAACGCCGCGUGAGUGAAGAAGGUUUUCGGAUCGUAAAACUCUGUUGGUAGAGAAGAACGUUGGUGAGAGUGGAAAGCUCAUCAAGUGACGGUAACUACCCAGAAAGGGACGGCUAACUACGU